rnacentral:rRNA from 1 species
GACGAACGCUGGCGGCGUGCCUAAUACAUGCAAGUAGAACGCUGAAGGAGGAGCUUGCUCUUCUGGAUGAGUUGCGAACGGGUGAGUAACGCGUAGGUAACCUGCCUGGUAGCGGGGGAUAACUAUUGGAAACGAUAGCUAAUACCGCAUAACAGUAGAUGUUGCAUGACAUUUGCUUAAAAGGUGCAAUUGCACCACUACCAGAUGGACCUGCGUUGUAUUAGCUAGUUGGUGGGGUAACGGCUCACCAAGGCGACGAUACAUAGCCGACCUGAGAGGGUGAUCGGCCACACUGGGACUGAGACACGGCCCAGACUCCUACGGGAGGCAGCAGUAGGGAAUCUUCGGCAAUGGACGGAAGUCUGACCGAGCAACGCCGCGUGAGUGAAGAAGGUUUUCGGAUCGUAAAGCUCUGUUGUAAGAGAAGAACGAGUGUGAGAGUGGAAAGUUCACUCUGUGACGGUAUCUUACCAGAAAGGGACGGCUAACUACGUG